rnacentral:rRNA from 1 species
UGAGUGCGAGCUGCUACGGCAGCGAAGUUGGUGAUGUCAUGCUUCCAAGAAAAGCCCUAUACCCGUUAAGGCAUCAUGGCCCGUACCCGAAACCGACACAGGUGGGGUGGUAGAGAAUACCGAGGGGCGCGAGGUAACUCUCUCUAAGGAACUCGGCAAAAUGGCCCCGUAACUUCGGGAGAAGGGGUGCCACCGCAAGGUGGUCGCAGUGAAGAGGCCCAGGCGACUGUUUACCAAAAACACAGGUCUCCGCUAAGUCGCAAGACGAUGUAUGGGGGCUGACGCCUGCCCAGUGCCGGAAGGUUAAGGAAGCUGGUCAGCGCAAGCGAAGCUAGCGACUGAAGCCCCGGUGAACGGCGGCCGUAACAAUAACGGUCCUAAGGUAGCGAAAUUCCUUGUCGGGUAAGUUCCGACCCGCACGAAAGGCGUAACGAUCUGGGCGCUGUCUCGGAGAGAGGCUCGGCGAAAUAGAAUUGUCUGUGAAGAUGCGGACUACGUGCACCCGGACAGAAAGACCCUAUGAAGCUUUACUGUAGCUUGGUAUUGUGCCCGGGCUCGCAAUGCGCAGGAUAGGUGAGAGGCUUUGAUCAUCGGCUUGCGGGUCGAUGUGAGCCAACGGUGAGAUACCACUCUUUGCGAGCUAGGGUUCUAACGGCCACCCGUCAUCCGGGGGCCGGACAGCACCUGGUGGGCAGUUUGACUGGGGCGGUCGCCUCCUAAAAGGUAACGGAGGCGCGCAAAGGUUUGCUCAGGCUGGUUGGAAAUCAGCCGACGAGUGUAAAAGCAGAAGCAAGCUUGACUGUGAGACCAACAAGUCGAACAGGGAGGAAACUCGGCUUUAGUGAUCCGACGGUUCUGAGUGGAAGGGCCGUCGCUCAACGGAUAAAAGUUACUCUAGGAUAACAGGCUGAUCUCCCCCAAGAGUUCACAUCGACGGGGAGGUUUGGCACCUCGAUGUCGGCUCAUCGCAACCUGGGGCUGAAGUCGGUCCCAAGGGUUGGGCUGUUCGCCCAUUAAAGCGGUACGCGAGUUGGGUUCUGAACGUCGUGAGACAGUUCGGUCCAUAUCCGGUGCACGCGCAGGAAUAUUGAGAGGAUUUCUCCCUAGUACGAGAGGACCGGGAGGAACGCACCUCUGGUGUACCAGUUAUCGUGCCAACGGUAAACGCUGGGUAGCCAUGUGCGGAGUGGAUAACCGCUGAAAGCAUCUAAGUGGGAAGCCCACCUCAAGAUGAGUAUUCCCAUGGCGUAAGCCAGUAAGGUCACGGGAAGAACACCCGUUGAUAGGCUCUAUGUGGAAGCGCAGUAAUGCGUGAAGCAGAGGAGUACUAAUAGACCGAGGGCUUGAU